UACGAAGGUCGCAAGCGUUAUCCGGAAUUACUGGGCGUAAAGAGUCCGUAGCUGGUUUUAUAAGUCUGAUUUCAAAUCCCUUGUCUCAAGCAAGGAAAGGGGUCAGAUACUGUAUUUCUAGAGAUAACUGGGGGUUAGUGGAAUUGCCGGUGGAGGGGUGAAAUCCGUUGAUAUCGGUAGGAACGCCAAAAGCGAAAGCAACUAACUAUGGUUUUCUGACAGUCAAGGACGAAAGCUUGGGGAUCAAACGGG
rnacentral:rRNA from 1 species